UACGGAGGGAGCUAGCGUUGUUCGGAAUUACUGGGCGUAAAGCGUACGUAGGCGGUUAUUCAAGUCAGAGGUGAAAGCCCGGGGCUCAACCCCGGAACUGCCUUUGAAACUAGAUAGCUAGAGUCUUGGAGAGGUUAGUUGGAAUUCCGAGUGUAGAGGUGAAAUUCGUAGAUAUUCGGAAGAACACCAGUGGCGAAGGCGACUAACUGGACAAGUACUGACGCUGAGGUGCGAAAGCGUGGGGAGCAAACAGG
rnacentral:rRNA from 1 species